rfam:Drosophila sechellia strain Rob3c scaffold_9392 genomic scaffold, whole genome shotgun sequence.
AUAUCGGUCCUUUUCAGGACCACAAACUAGAUUCAUGAGAUAAAAUU